UGUAUUCACUACUGUAAGUCGCUCUGGAUAAGAGUGUCUGCUAAAUGACGCCAA
rfam:Salmo salar isolate Sally breed double haploid chromosome ssa09, whole genome shotgun sequence.